CCUUCCUGUUCACCAUAUACUGUUGUUACAGAGGCACUAACGCCGUUCCCCUUAAUGUUUGGACACUGUAGACUAAACUUUAUAGUUGAGUUCAGGACUGUCUGUGAAAUAGCUGACUAACAAACUUUACUUAUUCCGUCACUGUUAGCUGGAUAUCAAAGCCAUAUAACGUUCAGCUGAAGCAGCUUGUUUAUAAAAUACCAUUUACUAAAAUAGUUAACAAGCUCGUUUGCAUACUAUGUUGAUUAGCUAAUUAAUCCCAAACCUGAUUUCUAUUUGGUGAAAUUGCCUUCUUCAUAUUCCCUACACACGGAAUAUCAAUUUCUACAGUCACUAUGUAUCUAGCACCUGCAGACAUAUUCAGCGCGUUCUGUCACACUGCACUAUAAUCUAAUUUGUUUGACAAAACUGUUCCAACGUCAUUUCUGAAGUUGGUCACGUCUCCGUUGACAAGGCCGACAGCUUCAUCAGGUGUGACGGGUCUGGAAAAAAAAGUGAAAACACCUGUGUGACGCGCGAGCCUCGUCGAUCAGAUGGCUGCGCCUUUCGCUAUAAUAACACAAGCAAAGUUCUGACAGAAGCUCUCAGAAAGUGUCUGGGCUGCUGAAGGAUGGCAAGUAUUGUAAUAGUUCCAAUGUGAUUCGAGUCUAACCAUAUGACCCAAACAACGCCAACGCCAGCGGUCACACUGACACUCUCCAGCUCUGCCUCUGGCCGUCGCCGAAUACAGUCGCAGUGACCAGGGUCAGCCGUGUAGCGAGGCGGCCCGGGGCGACCAUGGCGACCAUCAACUGCCACACGAGCCGCACGCCGAUGCGUGUGGAAACUGGCGCCGGUGGCGCUCCCAUUUUUGAACGCACCCCAGGUGGAGAAACGUUAAAUAAGACCGCCAAAGCCAACAUCAAGGUAGUAAACUUUAUUUAUUUUAUUGGAAAACAUUGAUAUUUCACAGCUUGUAGUAGUUUGGACGCAAACUUCCAUAUACUUGAAGAGCUACGGUCAGGCCCUUAGUUCCCCCAACCCCCUCACUGCAGAAACCAGACUGGGCAAAGCCCCUCAAGAACGCAGGGACCAGAGAAACUCCCUUCAACACGGUUUAGAGGCUGCAGUUCGACAGACUCGUUUCCCCAUCUUCGCAGUUAACAGACGUGUGAAAACCUCAAAAUUACAAUCUAACGAGGGAAAACCACUUCAGGAAAGCUUUACAUUUUUUAAGCCCCACCCCCCUUCCCAUCCACCCCAAAAUAUCCCUCCACAGUGGAAGCAUUCAGUCUGAGGAAGAGGAGCGUGGAGAAGUGCGCCUGACACCAGGACCUGACAAACCACAACUAGAGCAAGAGACGGGAGCAGCAGCGACAGCAAAAUUUGGUUUCACUUUUUGAUCAGAACAGUUUUGAACAGUUUCUUGUACAUAAAAGUGCAAAUAUAUGUAUGUAUAAUAUAUAUAUAUAUUUAUAGUAUUGUCUAAUUUACUAAAAGUCAUCUUGCCAAAAAAAAAUAAAUAAAUAAAA